UUCUGAUCCAGCACAUUAUGGGAUAUGCUGAAAUAACUUUGGAGAUCCUGAAAUCGCCAAAUUAUAUGCUGAAAUUAACUUUGGUAUCAGCAUUCAUCCCCCAGGCAGAAAGGACUCGCCUAGGGAGCCAGCGCGGUCCCAAAGGAGCCGCCGGCCCUGCCUCCCGGGAUCCGACCCCAGAUGUGCCAUUCUCUGCUUGGACGCACACAGAGUAUUCUUGCUCACAGAAUAUCUCAGUUGAAGCCCUGAGCAUGUAAAAGGAAGGUGAGUAGUUAGUUGCACCUUACACGUGCAGGGUGCUUUAUAGCUCUCUUUACAAAGCACUGUGUACUUGAUUGGUUCAUUAUAUAAGAAUCAUAAAGCAACCCUGAGAGUUAGUCAGAGAAAAGCUAAAGAUGCAGGGAGGGUUUUUUUUGUUUUUUUGUUUUGUUUUGGUUUUUUGAGACGGGGUCUUGCUCUGUCGCCCAGGCUGGAGUGCAGUAGCGCGAUCUUGGCUUGAUGCAGGGAGUUUUGGAGUUUUGUGUAUCUGCAUCUGCAGAGGUUGGAGUCAUCCUGUCUAUUCAUUUCUUUCUCCAGCCUCUCAUAGCAGCUGGGAAGAGAGAGUGGAGAGAAAGAGGGCUCAGGACAGGUGUGGACACGGUGGAAGAAGAGGAGCCUGCUGUGACAGACUUCCUUGAAAUGACUAACAAGUAAAUCUUUAAGGAAAUAAGUAAAACCAAAAGAAGGACUUAUGGGUUGGAAGAAGGGAAGGAGAAGGAAAAGGCAGAUGGGAUAGGAAUAGGCAUUAAAGAUUGCAAACAGGCUAGUAGCAAAGAAAGCAAAAAAACAAACAGGGUUUUUAGAAACCAGAUAAACCUUGGAUUCCUGGUGUUGUCACUUCUGAGCUAUCUCUGUGACCUUAGGUAAGUUCUUUAACUUCCCCAAACCUAUUUUGCCUCAUCUGUAAAAUUAAAAAAAAAAAAAAAAAAAGUUCUGACUUUAUCAUGUGGCUGUGCCUAUUAAAAAGAGACAGGAAGCACAUAGUAUAGUGCUGGGCAUAUGAUAGGGAAUUAAUGUUGUCUACUAUUAUUAUCUGCAGAAAUUCCCUUUGUGUAAGUAUCAAAAAAUAAAUUGGAGUGAAAGUACCAGUGGAAGUACCAAAAAUAAAUUGGAGUGGCUGUGACAAUACUCUAAGCUACUGGCAAUGAUAGCUUGAACUACAUUGACAGAAAGGCAACCAUGUUGCCAUGAGAUGGGAAAAACAGCGAGUACAAUCAAUUGGAUGUGGGGAAGGAAGAACAAGAAUCAAAUUGGUUGUUAUUUCUAGAUUAAGUAGAUGAUGUCGUUCUCAUAAAUAGAUACAACUGAUGGAAAAAUGGGUUUUGGAGGAAGAUGACCACUGGCUUUCCUCAUUUUAUUGUGCUUUGUUUUAUUGCAGUUCACAGAAAAUGUGUUUUUUGUUUGUUUGUUUAUUUUACAAAUUGAAGGUUUUUGGCAACCCUGUGUUGAACAAGUCUAUUAGUGCAAUUUUUCCAGCAGUAUGUGCUCACUUCAUGUCUCUGUGUCACGUUUUGGGCAUUCUCAUAAUAUUUUAAGCUUUUUCAUUUUUAUUGUACCUGGUAUGGUGAUCUGUGAUCAUUGAUCUUUGAUGUUACAAUUGUAAUUGUUUUAGGGUGCCACAGACCAUGCCCAUUAAUCUAUAAAUGUUGUGUGUAUUCUGAGUGCUCCACCUACCAGCUGUUCCCCACCUCCCUCCCUCUGCUGGUCCUCCCUAUUCCCUGAGACACAACAAUAUUGAAAUUCGGCCAAUUAAUAUCCUUAUAAUGGCCUCUAUGUGUUCAAGUGAAAGGAAGAGUCAUACGUCUCUCACUUCAAAUCAAAAGCUAGAAAUGAUGAACUUAGUGAGGAAGGCAUGUCAGAAAUCCAGAUAAGCCAAAGUUAGGCAUCUUGUGCCAAACAGUUAGCCAAAUUGUGAAUGCAAACAAAAAAUUCUUGAAGGAAAUUAAAAGUGCUAUUCUAGUGCAUACCUGAAUGAUAAGAAAGUGAAACAGUCUUUUUCCUGAUAUGGAGAAAGUUUUAGUGGUCUGCAUAGAGGAUCAAACCAGCCCCAACAUUCCUUUAAGCCAAAGCCUAAUCCGGAGCAAGGCCCUAACUCAAGGUUGAGAGAGGUAAGGAAACUGUAGAAAAGUUUGAAGCUAGCAGAGUUUGGUUUCUUAAACAAAGUUUAAGAAAAGAAGCAUAACAUAGAAGUACAAGAUGAAGAAGCGAGUGCUGAUGGAGAAGCUGUAACACGUUAUCCAGAAGAUCUAGCUAAGGUAGAUGGAGGUGGCUACAAUAAUCAGCAGUUUAUCAAUGUAGACUUAAUAGCCUUCUAUUGGAAGAUGCCAUCUAAGACUUUUCUAGCCAGAGAAAAAUCAAAGCCUGACUUCAAAGCUUCAAAGGACAGGCUUAUUAGGGGCGAAUGCACCCAGCGACCUUAAGUUGAAGCCAAUUUUCAUUUACCAUUAUGAAAAUUCUAGGGCCCUCAAGAAUUAUGCUAAAUUGACUUUACUUGUGCCUUAUAGAUGAGACAAAAAGGCCUGGGUGACAGCAUAUCUGUUUACAACAUGGUCUUCUGAAUAUUUUAAGCCUACUGUUGAGAACUACUACUCAGAAAAAAAGAUUCCUUUCAAAAUAUUAAUGCUCAUUGACAAUGCACCUGUUCAGCCAAGAACUUUGAUCGAGAUGUACGAGAAGAUGAAUGUUGUUUUCAUGCCAGCUAGUAAAACAUCCUUUCUGCAGCCUAUGGAUCAAGCAGCAAAUCUGACUCUCAAUUCUUAUUAUUUAAGAAAUCUUUUUUAUAAGGCUAUGGCUGCCACAGAUAGUGAUUCCUCUGAUGGAGCUGGGCAUCAUAAUUGAAAGCCUUCUGGAAAGGAUUCAUCAUUUUAUAUGCCAUUAAUAACAUUCAUGAUUCAUGAGAGGAGGUCAAAAU